rnacentral:rRNA from 1 species
CCUACGGGAGGCAGCAGUGAAGAAUCUUUCGCAAUGGGGGAAACCCUGACGAAGCAAUACCGCGUGAACGAUGAAGGUCGAAAGAUUGUAAAGUUCUUUUCUGGAGGAAGAAUUCUGACGGUACUCCAGGAAUAAGCACCGGCCAACUCCGUGCCAGCAGCCGCGGUAAU